CUAAGUUUGAUGGCGACCGGCGCACGGGUGAGUAACACGUAUCCAACCUGCCGAUGACUCGGGGAUAGCCUUUCGAAAGAAAGAUUAAUACCCGAUGGCAUAGUUCUUCCGCAUGGUAGAACUAUUAAAGAAUUUCGGUCAUCGAUGGGGAUGCGUUCCAUUAGGUUGUUGGCGGGGUAACGGCCCACCAAGCCUUCGAUGGAUAGGGGUUCUGAGAGGAAGGUCCCCCACAUUGGGACUGAGACACGGCCCAAACUCCUACGGGAGGCAGCAUG
rnacentral:rRNA from 1 species